UUUGGGCUUGCUAGCUCUCUCACUUUCGAGCUUGAUGAUUGUGAGAUUCUUGCCGUUUUGGUGAUUGUGGCUGAUCUUCUUGGCUGAUUUCUCGGCCUUGAUCGACGGGGAGAUGAGAGUUUGUCUCAUCUUCUACUUUUGGGCUUGUGUACAUGGAGGCAUUCUUGGAGCUUGUGGAGGGGAGCAAAAUCGAGAUUAAGAAAGAGAGGGAAAGAAAGAAGAUGCUCCUCUUGAGCUCAUUUGGUUCUAUUCCCAAUUUAGUUUGCUUCCAAACUUGAGAAUUAAAGAAGUAGGAUAGAUAGCGUAGAAUAGGUGCAUGUUGAUUUUAUCACACUUGCAGGCAUGUACUAUUUCCAUCAUCCAUGUAUUUCUAUUUCUUCACGGUGUAUCCACAUUUCUCUAAUAAAAGUAUUUUCUCCACUUUUA